GACGAACGCUGGCGGCGUGCUUAACACAUGCAAGUUGAACGGAAAGGCCCUGCUUUUGUGGGGUGCUCGAGUGGCGAACGGGUGAGUAACACGUGAGUAACCUGCCCUUGACUUUGGGAUAACUUCAGGAAACUGGGGCUAAUACCGGAUAGGAGCUCCUGCUGCAUGGUGGGGGUUGGAAAGUUUCGGCGGUUGGGGAUGGACUCGCGGCUUAUCAGCUUGUUGGAGGGGUAGUGGCUUACCAAGGCUUUGACGGGUAGCCGGCCUGAGAGGGUGACCGGCCACAUUGGGACUGAGAUACGGCCCAGACUCCUACGGGAGGCAGCAGUGGGGAAUAUUGCACAAUGGGCGGAAGCCUGAUGCAGCAACGCCGCGUGCGGGAUGACGGCCUUCGGGUUGUAAACCGCUUUCGCCUGUGACGAAGCGUGAGUGACGGUAAUGGGUAAAGAAGCACCGGCUAACUACGUG
rnacentral:rRNA from 1 species